rnacentral:rRNA from 1 species
GUGCCAGCAGCCGCGGUAAUACUAGCGGUCCAAGUCGCAACCACAUUUAUUGGGUCUAAAACAUCCGUAGCUUGCUUGAUAAGUUUCUUGUGAAAUUCUAUGUCUCAAACAUAGAGCGUGCAAGAAAUACUAUCUAGCUAGAGAUCGGGAGACGUAAGGAGUACGUUUAAAGUAGUAGUAAAAUGCUUUAAUCUUAAGCGGACUAACAAUAGCGAAGGCACCUUACGAGAACGGUUCUGACAGUCAGGGAUGAAGGCUAGGGGCGCAAAACGGAUUAGAUACCCGUGUAGUCCUAGCAGUAAACACUGUACACUAAACAUUGGGACCUCUUCGAGAGGUUUCAGUGCUGCAGGGAAGCCGAAGAGUGUACUACCUGGGAAGUAUAGCCGCAAAGGCCGAAACUCAAAAGUAAGUAGUACGGACGUCGUAGGAACGUACGUCCGAACCGGAACGGACCAACCAACGGGGAAGGGGUAAGGUAGG